UUUUUUUUUUCCCCCUCUCUGAAAGUACUUUCUCAGUCGGGCACUAGCUCUACCUCCAGGACUAGAGGGGAAGGAGAGGCCAACUCUUCUGCUCCCUCCAGGCCUGCAGCUAGCUCUGAAUGUCCUCCUGGGGAAGUCACCAGGGCACAGCCGCAGUGCUCUGCUUCCCAGCCGUGGCUUCUGAGAGCCUCCUGUGAGCUUCCCUGCUUCUGCAGGUCGAGUGUGUUUAUCCCAAGGCUCUUGCAGGUGGAUUUCAAGGUAAAAGCUGAAGUGCCAGGGGAGAGAAGAGCAUAUGGAUUCCUGUAUUCCAAGAAAGAAGUGCUGCCAGUCUUAGGAGCACAUAAUGACAGUUUUACUCCAGUCCACACAGGAAUAAACUGAGGCACCUGGUGUUCUGUUCACUGUUUCUGCACAGUGCCUGGCGCAGGGUACACACAUGUUUAGUAAUCAACAGCGAGUGAAAUUACUGGUUAAAACUGACCCAAUUUCUGGUAAUUUGUCAUGCAAGCUUUAGGUGGUACGGUAUAGAUGGGUUUGGUUUGGUUUGGUUUUGCCUUUCUCCCCAGUACUUUCUUUAAGAAAUUUUACAGACAUGCAGAAAUGUUGGAUGAAUUGUAUAAUGAACAACCACCACCUAGAAUCUACAAGUAACAUUUUGUAACAUUUGCUUUAUCACUUAGUAGAUGUUAAUUUUAAUGAGACUUCAAGUUUGGCUUCUCUUUUAAAAAUUUCUCUGAGAUAAUUAACUUCAGUCGAGUCAUCUUAAACUCUUUGGGGAAACUUGUGAUAUUUGAAUUGUAGCUGCGAUUGUGGUCCUUACUUUCAGCUAGUUUUCAACUUGUAAAUCUAUUAUGCUGAAUUUUAAUCUUAUUUAUCUUGCCUGAAGGGAUGCUUUUUAUAAUGGAUUUAUUUGAAAGUCCUCGAUCAAUUGUGCAGAGUAUUUUAAUGUUAUUUUCACACUUGAUGAAUUAUCCAAUUAAUUUCUCUGGUCAGAAUGUAAUUUGGGGCCCAUUCUGCUUACACAGUGUUCCAGGAUUAUGUUCCUACAGGGCUGAAGAGACAGUGUAAUUUAGCAUAUAUCCCACUAAAUCAGGAGCUACAAGACUUAGGUUUUACUCCUGACCAUGGGCAAGUCCGUUCUCUUUGUCUUUGUGUCUGUUUAUCUACCUAUAAAGAGUGGGAUGGAAUUUGAAAUUUAGAUACCAUUAAAUAGUGGGUAACAUUUCUUAAUGCUUGGGUCUACUAAGGGAGGCUAUUACAAAUCUGUAACUAUAUGACAAGCUGUGGGAUGAAAACCGACUUGAAAAAUGGAAGCACGUGCAGUGAGUGCUCUGAGUGUCACCAGAAAGCCUGCUGUUGCUCAGAAUUUACUAUUGCUACAGAAGUUGUGAGCAGUUUUCCUAAUCCAUCUGGACUCCAAGUGUUUUGUGAGAGGGAGUUGAAUGCAAAGAUGGGAGGGGACAGCUCAUCACAGACCGAGAAUCAAGUGUUCAGUGGAAGAGCAAGAUGUGUGGAAGGAAGAGCUUAAUGGCUUUACCCAGGUUCACUGCCGCGGGCACCCUCUACUGCCCCCUCCAACCGCCCCCCAUCACCAUGCCUAACAAAGAAGAAGGCCCUGAACAGCACUGGGGCGCUGGUGGUCUCCACAGGUCAAUGCACCUGGACUGCAGGGUUGGCAGAGGGAUAAACAGGGUCCCCACUCCAUUUAGUGGAUAAGUGUGACCUUAUUUCCAACCUAGGUUAUGCCUAUAGAUUCACAUUUAUCUCACAAGGGCAUUUGGAGAUUUUACAUUAGAUCCUGUCUUAGUGGGCGCCUGGGUGGCUCAGGGGUUAAGCAUCUACCUUUGGCUCAGGGCGUGACCCCAGGGUCCUAGGAUUGAGUCCUGCGUCGGGCUCCCUGCAGGGAGUCUGCUUCUCCCUCUGCCUGUGUCUCUGCCUCUCUGUGUGUCUCUUAUGAAUAAAUGGAUAAAAAUCUUAAAAAAGAAAAAAAAUGUCUUAGUAGUGAUUAUAGGAGUAUGACGAAAACCGUGUUUCUUGAAUGGCACCUUACUGAAUAUUAGUGUAGCUGAAAACAAAUGCCAGACCGACCUGCCUACCCACUCCCAUCUGGUGUGGAUAUUCUCUUACCAGCAGCCUGUGUAUAGCACCAAUAGCUUUACCAAAGAAGUACUCUUACUUCAAAUGAAAUAUAUAUAAUAAAAUAUAAUUGGUAUUCUGGGUGUUUAAUAAAUAAGUACACUGCUUUGA
rnacentral:lncRNA from 1 species